UACAGGGGGUGCAAACGUUGCUCGGAAUUAUUGGGCGUAAAGCGCGCGUAGGCGGCUAUUUAAGUCGGGUGUGAAAGCCCCGGGCUCAACCUGGGAAUUGCAUUCGAGACUGAAUAGCUAGGGUACGGUAGAGGGAAGCGGAAUUUCCGGUGUAGCGGUGAAAUGCGUAGAUAUGCGGAGGAACACCGAUGGCGAAGGCAAUCCCCUGGACCUGUACUGACGCUCAUGCACGAAAGCGUGGGGAGCAAACAGG
rnacentral:rRNA from 1 species